rnacentral:rRNA from 1 species
GACGAACGCUGGCGGCGUGCUUAACACAUGCAAGUCGAACGGAAAGGCCCUGCUUUUGUGGGGUGCUCGAGUGGCGAACGGGUGAGUAACACGUGAGUAACCUGCCCUUGACUUUGGGAUAACUUCAGGAAACUGGGUCUAAUACCGGAUAGGAUCUCCUGCUGCAUGGGGGGGGUUGGAAAGUUUCGGCGGUUGUGGCUGGACUCGCGGGUUAUCAGCUUGUUGGUGGGGUAGGGGCUUACCAAGGCUUUGACGGGUAGCCGGCCUGAGAGGGUGACCGGCCACAUUGGGACUGAGGUACGGAGCAGAAGCCAACGGGCGGCAGCAGUGGGGAACAUUGCAGAAUGGCAGGACGCCAGAUGCAGCAACGCCGCGUGCGGGAUGACGGCCUUCGGGUUGUAAACCGCUUUCGAAUGAGACGAAGAGUGAGUGACGGUAAUGGGUAAAGAAGCACCGGCUAACUACGUG